UCUCCGUUGGUGAACCAGCGGAGGGAUCAUUAGCGAGUUCACAAGUGACUCCCAACCCGUGCCAACUUACCGCGCCCUGGUCUCCAGGGCGCACCGUUGCCUCCUGGCGGGCGCCGUCGGCACCUUGCGGUGCGGGCGUGCCUGCCGGGGGCGCACCGAACCUUCUUUUGCAGUAUUAUACCGUCUGAGAAAAACCACAGAAUCGUAAAAACUUUCAACAACGGAUCUCUUGGUUCUGGCAUCGAUGAAGAACGCAGCGAACUGCGAUAAGUAAUGCGAAUUGCAGAAUUCAGCGAGCCAUCGAAUCUUUGAACGCACAUUGCGCCCGCCAGUAUUCUGGCGGGCAUGCCUGUCCGAGCGUCAUUUCCUCCCUCACGCGGCCUUUCGCGUGGUGUUGGGGCGAUCUGCGACCGGUCGCUGCAGCGAUGCGGCGUCCGGCGCAGCCUCUCAAAGCAAGUGGCGGGCCGGCAGCGGUCUCCGAGCGCAGUAAGCAUUUUUGCCUCUCGCUCUGGACGAUGCUGCCUGCGCCCUGCCCCCAAUGCAGACGCAAGUCUAUCUCAAAGGUUGACCUCGGAUCAGGUAGGAUUACCCGCUGAACUUAA
rnacentral:sRNA from 2 species